rnacentral:lncRNA from 1 species
UGCUUUGAUUCACGAUAAACUUAUGAAAUAAUAAUACAAGAUUAGAUAAGAACCUGUGUAGAUAAACUAAACCAAAUAAAAAAGCAAGAAAGCCAUCACCGAAAACUUAAAAUGAAAAUCCAAACUCAAACUCUAACUCUUUUCUCUCCUUUUCCUUAGUCUGCUACAUCUGUUUCUUCUUCUUCUUCUUACUUUUGUUUCCACUCUUGCUCUCUUUUCUAUUUUUUUCCCUUCACUCUUUUUUCCAGUUUUCUCUUUUAUUUUUGUCUUUUUCACUUUUUUUCCUUUCUUUCUUCUAUUUCUCUCUUUGUUUUCA